AGAACGAACGCUGGCGGCAGGCUUAACACAUGCAAGUCGAGCGCCCCGCAAGGGGAGCGGCAGACGGGUGAGUAACGCGUGGGAACAUACCCUCCGGUUCGGAAUAGCUCAGGGAAACUUGGAUUAAUACCGGAUACGGCCUAGCGGCGAAAGAUUCAUCGCCGGAGGAUUGGCCCGCGUUCGAUUAGCUAGUUGGUGAGGUAACGGCUCACCAAGGCGACGAUCGAUAGCUGGUCUGAGAGGAUGAUCAGCCACAUUGGGACUGAGACACGGCCCAAACUCCUACGGGAGGCAGCAGUGGGGAAUAUUGGACAAUGGGCGCAAGCCUGAUCCAGCCAUGCCGCGUGAGUGAUGACGGCCUUAGGGUUGUAAAGCUCUUUCGCUAGGGACGAUAAUGACGGUACCUAGACAAGAGCCCGGCUAACUUCGUGCCAGCAGCCGC
rnacentral:rRNA from 1 species